CAACAUUGCUGUAUGCUAAUGAACUGACAUCCUCUCCUCUAACUGUAUAUAAGAAAAGCUCAGCAUUCAGAGCAACACUACAUCAACCUCUUCCAACUUCUGCGAGACAAUCUGCUGGAGUGGUAAAGACUUGAAGGUGUGAUCACUGUAACCAUGCUGAAGGUAGUAUUUGUGCUCGGAUGCCUCCUGAGCUUCGCUCUGGCUAAUCCUACGGAUAUGGAGCACAAACGACUUGCUCGGUCAAAGUCUGAUUCUGACUCGAAUUCAAAUGAGGUGAGAAAUCCCUCCUCCCGGCAGCCUACUCGUAACCAGUGGUUCCAGUUCUUGUAUUACUACCUUCAGCAACAACGAACUACUACUGCAGCCACUACUACUACUGCAGCCACUACUACUACUGCAGCCACAACUACUACUACUACUGCAGCCACUACUACUACUGCAGCCACUACUACUACUAAAGCUGCCACUACUCCUACUGCAGCUCCCACUACCCCAGCUCCUAAAACUUAAAAUCCUGACUUUUACCACAGAUCAUUGACCAUUGAUCAUGUAUUGAAUGUAUUACAUUUUUCUCAUAAACAAAACACAGUUGAUGAUCAAUAUUUUAAAUUGAAAUUAUGUUUUCUUAACCAGGGGUGCUUUAACACCUUUUAUUCUAGUUAAAUGUGUGUUUUCCUUUUUAUGUCAUAUCUGCUGAAUAAACCUUAUGGAAAACACUGA